AAACGAUGUGUCAUCAUCAAAUUUACAGGGAAAAACUCUUAAAUGUAUAUUGCGCAAUAUUAUUGGAUGAAGACGUAGCAGUCUGCUAGUUCGAUGCGACACAAUGUGAUUUUUUUCAAGUUGUGCAGUGAUACAAGCAAGCCAUGAUCUAAGCUUUCAAGAAGAAGAUGGCUAACUUUGAAAAUGGUUAAUCCUGAUUAUGUCAAAGAGAAGAAUUGUUAUCAAGGAUGUUGAAACAUCAGACUCAGAGGCAAAGAAGAUUCACGAGGAUGUAAAUUCAACCAAAUCUUUGUCGACCAACACUAAUAUACAAGCUGCCAUGUCAUCGGUAGACCCUUCAUCAUAUGGUAAACAAUUAACAUAGAGUAAAAGUAAC